rnacentral:rRNA from 1 species
CCCUGCCUUUUGUACACACCGCCCGUCGCUCCUACCGAUUGAGUGGUCCGGUGAAUCUUUCGGACUGCUUGUGGUCUCGUGCCAUGAGCGGAAAGUCAGGUAAACCUUAUCACUUAGAGGAAGGAGAA